rnacentral:rRNA from 1 species
AAGGAAUAUUUGUCAAUGGACGCAAGUCUGAACCAGCCAUGCCGCGUGAAGGAUGAAGGUCCUCUGGAUUGUAAACUUCUUUUAUCUGGGACGAAAACGGGAUUUUUAUCUCAAUUGACGGUACCAGAGGAAUAAGCACCGGCUAACUCCGUGCCAGCAGCCGCGGUAAUACGGAGGGUGCGAGCGUUAUCCGGAUUUACUGGGGUUAAAGGGUGCGUAGGUGGGCUUAUAAGUCAGUGGUGAAAUCUCCGGGCUUAACUUGGAAACUGCCGUUGAUACUAUAGGUCUUGAAUUAUCUGGAGGUAAGCGGAAUAUGUCAUGUAGCGGUGAAAUGCUUAGAUAUGACAUAGAACACCAAUUGCGAAGGCAGCUUACUACAUAUAAAUUGACGCUGAGGCACGAAAGCGUGGGGAUCAAACA